AACGAACGCUGGCGGCAGGCUUAACACAUGCAAGUCGAACGCAUCCUUCGGGAUGAGUGGCAGACGGGUGAGUAACACGUGGGAACCUACCCAAAGGUACGGAAUAACACAGGGAAACUUGUGCUAAUACCGUAUGUGCCCUUCGGGGGAAAGAUUUAUCGCCUUUGGAUGGGCCCGCGUCGGAUUAGCUAGUUGGUGGGGUAAUGGCCUACCAAGGCGACGAUCCGUAGCUGGUCCGAGAGGAUGAUCAGCCACACUGGGACUGAGACACGGCCCAGACUCCUACGGGAGGCAGCAGUGGGGAAUAUUGGACAAUGGGCGCAAGCCUGAUCCAGCCAUGCCGCGUGAGUGAUGAAGGCCUUAGGGUUGUAAAGCUCUUUCAGCUGGGAAGAUAAUGACGGUACCAGCAGAAGAAGCCCCGGCUAACUUCGUGCCAGCAGCCGCGGUAAUACGAAGGGGCUAGCGUUGUUCGGAAUCACUGGGCGUAAAGCGCACGUAGGCGG
rnacentral:rRNA from 1 species